rnacentral:lncRNA from 1 species
AUGCACAUCUGGCAAGUGAGGAGAACCUGGAGGCUCACCCAGGGGAGUUUUCACGUGGGCUUCUGUCUCUGCUGGAAGGAUCAGGUUCUUUUAAUUGCUGUCUCCUGGUAUUUUCUGGAACAAACUGGGGAAGGGAUGUUGCGUCAGGGAAGCCUGUUGAUUGCUUACUCCUUAUGGACAUAUGUGAUGCUGUUAAAUGGACAUGCUGGAAUCAGUUUGUCUAGGCAGCUACCAGGACCAUCUUCUGCUUACUGUGAUCAAAAGACCCAUGGUGGCCUCUGCUCCUAUAUUCUGGCAAAUAUAUCAGCUGGGUUCUAGCCCAAACCAGCUUUCAUUGAGUAGCCUCUGCUAAAUGUAUGAUGCUUCUUAACUCUAUUAAUUUAAUUGCAUGAGGGAUAUACAUUCCUAAGUCAAUGAUUUACUCUUUAGAAUUACAGUGUGAAGAUUUAUGGUGUCUUUUGUUACUUGAAAAGGGCAUGGUGAUAUUGUGGUGUGCCUUUGUCUCCAUAUAACUGCCCGCUUUCGUAGUUUCCUCUGUUUGCAAAACUCAUAGUUUCCAGUGCCAGCCUAACCUCAGGUUCUAUGUUCAGGAAAGAAGGUGUUAGAGAUUCCCUCACUCAGGGCUUCUUCUGGCAGUUGAUCCUCAGCUGAGCUUUUGUUACCGUGCCAACAUCUGAGAGUUAUCACCCAUCUCUUCUUUUACUGCUACUGUCACCACCUCCUGGUUGACUUGUUAUUUUCCUCUUCAUUUGGUGACAUAUUAGCCCAGGUAGGAAGUGUUGCUCUCCAUCCUUUCAUAACAGAAAAGAAAGAUAAUAAUCUAUCCUUGGCUUAAGGAAGUAAAACUGUCAUAUCUGUAAAUUUAAGAAUGUUAGUGUUUUAUUCUCUGAUAGCUGUUCACAGUGGACUGAUCUUAGACUUGUUCAGCUUAACCUCUGUUUCCCUACCUCCGGAUAGGAGUGACACAUGGAGAAGUUAUGAACUUCAGUGAAUCAGGGACAUUCCAUUCAAAGGUCUUAUGUUCGGGAUCUAUUUAACUCUGAUUUUUUUCAACUUCCUGUCUGUCAUAGUAGCAUUUUGUUUUGUCUGAAAUUAGCUGUUUUUACUAUACUUAGACAUUUGUUCAAAGAAUAGGUUCUUUAUUGUCUGCAGAAUACACUCAGCACCUCAAAAUUGAGUCUCCAAGUUCAGACACAGAAUCCUACAUGUUUUACAUUUCACUGAGAUGGUACUGGAUAUUGUGUCAAAGAAAGCCUUUCUGCCUUAAACUUAUUUCUUUAAAUAAGCAUUACAAUCUGUUUUAUGAUUUAGUCAUCUC